GACGAACGCUGGCGGCGUGCUUAACACAUGCAAGUCGAACGGUAAGGCCCUUCGGGGUACACGAGUGGCGAACGGGUGAGUAACACGUGGGUGAUCUGCCCUGCACUUCGGGAUAAGCCUGGGAAACUGGGUCUAAUACCGGAUAGGACCACUGCCUGCAUGGGUGGUGGUGGAAAGCUUUUGCGGUGUGGGAUGGGCCCGCGGCCUAUCAGCUUGUUGGUGGGGUGAUGGCCUACCAAGCCGACGACGGUUAGCCGGCCUGAGAGGGUGACCGGCCACACUGGGACUGGGAUACGGCCCAGACGCCUACGGGAGGCAGCAGUGGGGAAUAUUGCACAAUGGGCGGAAGCCUGAUGCAGCGACGCCGCGUGAGGGAUGACGGCCUUCGGGUUGUAAACCUCUUUCAGCACCGACGAAGCGCAAGUGACGGUAGGUGCAGAAGAAGGACCGGCCAACUACGUGCCAGCCGCCGCCGUAA
rnacentral:rRNA from 1 species